UGAGGAAUAUUGGUCAAUGGGGGCAACCCUGAACCAGCCAAGUCGCGUGAAGGAUGAAGGUCUUAUGGAUUGUAAACUUCUUUUAUACAGGAAUAAAUUGGGGGACGUGUCCCCUUUUGCAUGUACUGUAUGAAUAAGGAUCGGCUAACUCCGUGCCAGCAGCCGCGGUAAUACGGAGGAUCCGAGCGUUAUCCGGAUUUAUUGGGUUUAAAGGGUGCGCAGGCGGGAUGUUAAGUCGGCGGUGAAAUUUUGCAGCUCAACUGUAAAAGUGCCCUCGAUACUGGCCUCCUUGAGUGUGGAUGAAGUAGGCGGAAUUUGUGGUGUAGCGGUGAAAUUCUUAGAUAUCACGAGGAACUCCGAUUGCGCAGGCAGCUUACUAAGCCACAACUGACGCUCAUGCACGAAGGCGUGGGGAUCAAACA
rnacentral:rRNA from 1 species